UCACUUACCUGGACGGGGUCAAUGAGCGAUCAAGAUGGUUCAUGGCCUAGGUUGGUGACCUCUAUUGCACUUAGGAGGGGUGCCAGCUUAUGGUCUCCUCAAGUAGGAGAGCCAACGUCAUAAUUUGUGGUAGUGGGGGCCUGCGUUCGCGCGGCCCCUG